AUGAAAGAAUAAGUUGUGACCACUAAAAAGUUUAAUUACAACUAAAUCUGGGUGCUUUAGAGAGAGCGAGAGAA